UACGAAGGGGGCUAGCGUUGCUCGGAAUCACUGGGCGUAAAGGGUGCGUAGGCGGGUCUUUUAAGUCAGGGGUGAAAUCCUGGAGCUCAACUCCAGAACUGCCUUUGAUACUGAGGAUCUUGAGUUCGGGAGAGGUGAGUGGAACUGCGAGUGUAGAGGUGAAAUUCGUAGAUAUUCGCAAGAACACCAGUGGCGAAGGCGGCUCACUGGCCCGGAACUGACGCUGAGACACGAAAGCGUGGGGAGCAAACAGGG
rnacentral:rRNA from 1 species